rnacentral:rRNA from 1 species
UGGGGAAUCUUGCACAAUGGGGGAAACCCUGAUGCAGCGACGCCGCGUGAGCGAAGAAGUAUUUCGGUAUGUAAAGCUCUAUCAGCAGGGAAUAAAAAAGAAGGUACCUGACGAAGAAGCCCCGGCUAACUACGUGCCAGCAGCCGCGGUAAUACGUAGGGGGCAAGCGUUAUCCGGAUUUACUGGGUGUAAAGGGAGCGUAGACGGUGCGUUAAGUCAGAAGUGAAAGCCCAUUGCUCAACGAUGGAGCUGCUUUUGAAACUAACGAACUAGAGUACAGGAGAGGUAAGUGGAAUUCCUAGU